rnacentral:rRNA from 1 species
AUACGGGGGAUGCAAGCGUUAUUCGGAAUCAUUGGGCGUAAAGGGCACGCAGGCGGUUCUGUCAGUCAGAUGUGAAAGCCCGGGGCUUAACCCCGGACGUGCAUUUGAAACAGCAGGACUUGAGUAUGGUAGAGGAAAGCGGAAUUCCUGGUGUAGAGGUGAAAUUCGUAGAUAUCAGGAGGAACACCGGUGGCGAAGGCGGCUUUCUGGACCAAAACUGACGCUGAGGUGCGAAGGCGUGGGUAGCGAACAGGAUUAGAAACCCCUGUAGUCC